rnacentral:rRNA from 1 species
GACGAACGCUGGCGGCGUGCCUAAUACAUGCAAGUAGAACGCACAGUUUAUACCGUAGCUUGCUACACCAUAGACUGUGAGUUGCGAACGGGUGAGUAACGCGUAGGUAACCUGCCUGGUAGCGGGGGAUAACUAUUGGAAACGAUAGCUAAUACCGCAUAAUAUUGAUUAUUGCAUGAUAAUUGAUUGAAAGAUGCUAUUGCAUCACUACCAGAUGGACCUGCGUUGUAUUAGCUAGUAGGUGAGGUAACGGCUCACCUAGGCGACGAUACAUAGCCGACCUGAGAGGGGGAUCGGCCACACUGGGACUGAGACACGGCCCAGACUCCUACGGGAGGCAGCAGUAGGGAAUCUUCGGCAAUGGACGAAAGUCUGACCGAGCAACGCCGCGUGAGUGAAGAAGGUUUUCGGAUCGUAAAGCUCUGUUGUAAGAGAAGAACGGGUGUGAGAGUGGAAAGUUCACACUGUGACGGUAUCUUACCAGAAAGGGACGGCUAACUACGUG